AUCUUUGCGCUUGGGGCAAUGACGCAGGCAGUGAGGUUAUAACCGAGUCGCGUCUAUUGCUGGUUGAAAACUAUUUCCAAACCCCCUCUCGGGCUUGGGCUUGUCCUGGGCCCCGGAGAAUUUCUGGAAGGGAUCCCGACAGGGAUAAUCC